rnacentral:rRNA from 1 species
AAAGGCGGAUUUAUCUGCCGCUCAAGGAUGGGCCUGCGGUGCAUUAACUAGUUGGUGAGAUAGUAGCUCACCAAGGCGACGAUGCAUAGCCGACCUGAGAGGGUGAUCGGCCACACUGGGACUGAGACACGGCCCAGACUCCUACGGGAGGCAGCAGUAGGGAAUCUUCCGCAAUGGACGCAAGUCUGACGGAGCAACGCCGCGUGAGUGAUGAAGGGUUUCGGCUCGUAAAACUCUGUUGUUAAGGAAGAAUACUUGAGGUAGUAACUGGCCUUGAGAUGACGGUA